AUUGAACGCUGGCGGCAUGCCUUACACAUGCAAGUCGAACGGCAGCACGGGUGCUUGCACCUGGUGGCGAGUGGCGAACGGGUGAGUAAUACAUCGGAACGUACCUUAUCGUGGGGGAUAACGCAGCGAAAGCUGUGCUAAUACCGCAUACGCCCUGAGGGGGAAAGCGGGGGAUCGAAAGACCUCGCGCGAUUAGAGCGGCCGAUGCCUGAUUAGCUUGUUGGUAGGAUAAAAGCCCACCAAGGCGACGAUCAGUAGCUGGUCUGAGAGGACGAUCAGCCACACUGGGACUGAGACACGGCCCAGACUCCUACGGGAGGCAGCAGUGGGGAAUUUUGGACAAUGGGGGCAACCCUGAUCCAGCAAUGCCGCGUGAGUGAAGAAGGCCUUCGGGUUGUAAAGCUCUUUUGUCAGGGAAGAAACACCGGCUCUAACACAGCCCGGGAAUGACGGUACCUGAAGAAUAAGCACCGGCUAACUACGUGCCAGCAGCCGCCGUAA
rnacentral:rRNA from 1 species